GUCACUUUGGCGGAGUGGUUAACGCGUUACCCUGCUAUCCACCCGGAAACUGUCAGGUAAUUCCCUCGGGAGCACAGGUUCGAAUCCUGUAGGUGACG